UUUUUUCAAUGCUACAACGAAAGCUUGCAGUAUUUCUGGUACAAAGUGAAAUCUUCUAAAAACAUUUCAACUACGAGGCAUACAUUGUUUACUCCCCGUUUCUUAUUAAACUAUAUCAAGAAAACACUACAAAAAAUCUUAGAUGAUAGAUCAACACAAAGAUUUGACAAUUUUUUCACAUUGAAGGUGUAGAAUAUUUCGAAGGUACAAAAAGGUACAACGAUUUCAACACUACGAUUCCAAAAAUUUUAAUUUCUCUAUGAAAAAUCAAAAGAUCCAAACUUGAAUAAUUUGUUCGCUAGAUUCCCAAAGCUAUAUUUGUCUAAGCAAAACCUAAAAGGUAAAUUUUUUUUUCAAUGCUACAACGAAAGCUUGCAAUAUUUCUGGUACAAAGUGAAAUCUCCCAAAAACAUUUCAAACACGACGCAUACAUUUUUUACUCCCUGUUUCUUAUAAAAUUAUAUCAAGACAAAACUACAAAAAAUCUUAAAUGAUAGAUAAACACAAAGAUUUGACAAUUUUUUCACAUUGAAGGUGUAGAUUAUCUCGAAGGUACAAUAAGGUACAAUGAUUUCAAAACUACGGUUCCAAAAAGUUACAUUUCUAUAGGAAAAAUCUAGAGAUCCAAACUUGAAUAAUUUCUUCGCUAGACUCUCAUAGCUAUAUUUGUCUAAGCAAAACCUAAAAGGUAAAUUUUUUUUUCAAUGCUUCAAAGAAAGCUUGCAGUAUUUCUGGUAGAAAGUGAAAUCUUCCAAAAAUAUUUCAAAUACGACGCAUACAUAGUUUACUCCCCGUUGCUUAUAAAACUAUAUCAAGAAAACAGUACAAAAAAUCUUAAAUAAUACAUUAAUACAAAUGUUUGACAAUUUUUUCACAUUGAAGGAGUAGAAUAUUUCGAAGGUACAAUAAGGUAGAACUAUUUCAACACUACGAUUCCAAAAAGUUACAUUUCUCUAUGAAAAAUCAAAAGAUCCAAACUUGAAUAAUUUUUUCGCUAGAUUCCCAAAGCUAUAUUUGACUAAGAAAAACCUAAAAGGUAAUUUUUUUUUCAAUGCUACAACGAAAGCUUGCAAUAUUUCUGGUACAAAGUGAAAUCUUCCAAAAAUAUCUCAAAUACAACGCAUACAUGGUUUACUCCCCGUUUCUUAUAAAACUAUAUCAAGAAAAAACUACAAUAAAUCUUAAAUGAUACAUUAAUACAAAGGUUUGACAAUUUUUGCACAUUGAAGGUGUAGAUUAUUUCGAAGGUACAACAAGGUACAAUGAUUUCAACACUACGAUUCAAAAAAGUUACAUUUCUGUAUGAAAAAUCAAAAGAUCCAAACUUGAAUAAUUUCUUCGCUAGACGCCCAAAGUUAUAUUUGUCUAAGCAAAACGUAAAAGGUAAUUUUUUUUCAAUGCUACAACGAAAGCUUGCAAUAUUUCUGGUACAAAGUGAAAUCUCCCAAAAAAAAAACAUUUCAAAUACGACGCAUACAUUUUUUACUCCCUGUUUCUUAUAAAACUAUAUCAAGAAACAACUACAAAAAAUCUUAAAUAAUACAUUAAUACAAAGGUUUGACAAUUGUUUCACAUUGAAGGUGUAGAUUAUUUCGAAGGUACAAUAAGGUAUAACUAUUUCAACACUACGAUUCCAAAAAGUUACAUUUCUCUAUGAAAAAUCAAAAGAUCCAACCUUGAAUAAUUUCUUAGCUAGAUUCCCAAAGUUAUAUUUGUCUAAGCAAAACCUAAAAGGUAAUUUGUUUUUCAAUGCUACAACGAAAGCUUGCAGGAUUUCUGGUACAAAGUAAAAUCUCCCAAAAACAUUUCAAAUACGACGCAUACAUUUUUUACUCCCAGUUUCUUAUAAAAUUAUAUCAAGACAAAACUACAAAAAAUCUUAAAUGAUAGAUCAACACAAAGAUUUGAUAAUUCCUUCACAUUGAAGGUGUAGCUUAUUUUCGAAGGUACAACAAGGUACAAUGAUUUCAACACUACGAUUCCAAAAAGGUACAUUUCUCUAUGAAAAAUCAAAAGAUCCAAACUUGAAUAAUUUCUUCGCUAGAUUCCCAGAGUUAUAUUUGUCUAAGCAAAACCUAAAAGGUAAUUUUUUUUCAAUGCUACAACGAAAGAUUGCAAUAUUUUUGGUACAAAGUGAAAUCUCCCAAAAA
rnacentral:lncRNA from 1 species